GCGGGCGUAGUACACCGGUAGUAUGUAUCCUUCCCAAGGAUAAGAAGAGGGUCCGAUUCCCUUCGCCCGCU
rnacentral:tRNA from 1 species